rnacentral:lncRNA from 1 species
AAAUUUUAAAGGAAUUUCCAUUUGUAGGUGGAACAAGACCAACUGACUGAGAGGGAAGCACCCUGACUGUUUCAGUAUGGACACUCUUGAGGACUUGUUUGUAAUUGUGUGUUGUGUCCCGGCAAGUGAGUGUCUCUUUUGGGUACCAGACAGUGGGAUCAGCUCCUCUCAAUUUGGGAAAUUCUUUAUGGAAUUUCCAUUUGCAGGUCGAUCAAGCCCAACCAGUAGAGAAAGGGUGCACUCUGGCUGUUUCAGUUUGGACACUAGGGGCUUGUUUGUUGCUGCAGCAGUUGGAUAGUGUUUUGGUGAUUGUGUGUGUUUGAUAUAGUCAUGGGAAAUCAGAAUUUAGCCAACUUGAUAUUCUUUUGCAAUACUAUUUGGCCCCAAUCUUGUUUGGAAUCUGGACUUUGCUGCUGAAUGGAAAAGUGGGAUGGAGUUGCAUGGAUCCAGGCUUUUGUGCUGCUGUUCUAAGCAGAGUUGGGCCUGGUUAAUAUGUGAUGUUUUCCUUCGGUGCUGUUUAGCCCCAGUGUUCUUUGGAGUCCGGGGAAGUUUGGCCUUUAAAAAUCAAACUGCCAUGGACACUGCUUUACCCAAAAUUUUGGUUCACAUUCUUCACUGGAUUAACUAUUGGGGCAAACAACGUAUAACCAUGUAAAACCAGUACGCUUGUAUUGGCAUUUCAUGGCUAGAGUUCUAAGUCACAAGCACCUCUUCGGCAAAGCCCACCUCCCUCUCUCGCUUGAUUCCCCGGCCAUCCUUAUCAAAGACCUUCCAGGUGAACAGGCAGCCAUCCUCAGCAGCAGUCAGCAGGAACUGAUCAUCAAAGAAACUUGCAAAAAUAGCACAGAGAGAGUGGACUUCUGGAAUGGCACGUGAUUUCCUGAAGGAAAUAUAAUGAUCUGUUCAUCGAAGUAGAAGAUAUUG